rnacentral:rRNA from 1 species
GAUGAACGCUGGCGGUCUGCUUAACACAUGCAAGUCGAACGGGCUCUUUCGGGAGCUAGUGGCGGACGGGUGAGUAACGCGUGAGAAUCUGCCCUUUGGAGGGGGAUAACGGUUGGAAACGACCGCUAAUACCCCAUGUGCCGAGAGGUAAAAAUAAUUCGCCAAGGGAUUAGCCUGCGUCGGAUUAGCUAGUUGGUGGGGUUAAGGCCCACCCAGGCGACGAUCCGUAGCUGGUCCGAGAGGAUGACCAGCCACACUGGGACUGGGACACGGCCCAGACUCCUACGGGAGGCAGCAGUGGGGAAUUUUCCGCAAUGGGCGCAAGCCUGACGGAGCAAGACCGCGUGAGGGAAGACGGUCUGUGGAUUGUAAACCUCUUUUGACAGGGAAGAAGUACUGACGGUACCUGUAGAAUCAGCCUCGGCUAACUCCGUG